CUUUGCUGGGUCUGCUUUACUUCCACUGAACUAAAGGCUCUGUUAUCAGCUACGUAUCCAGCCCUUAAACUCAAGUGCGUGAAUUGUUCAGCAAAAUCUCUUCAGACUCUGAAUGGGGGAAACCCUGCUCAAAACCUGGAACAAAACCAGACAAUGGUAUCACGAGGAAGCGAUGAAUACCCCAGAAGAAGUCCAAAAGCUGCUGCUCCGAUCCCUUUGGGAUCUUCUCUACAUGAGAUCUAGGUUAAUAUCAAAACAUAGGUACCUCACAUAAUGGGCCAGUUUGCAUCACACAUAAGGAAACUUAUUUGGUUUGAUUGUUGGACUAAAGCUCUGGAGGUCAGGGGUUGAAUUCCCAUUCAUCCAUGCAAACCUGCUGGCUGACUUUGGGUAAGUCACAUUCUUUUUAAUAUUUAAGUACCAACUAUGGCUCAGUCUGCAAAACAGAUUGAAACAUUCCUGCACAUAGUGUGUGUGUUAUAGAGAACAUACAGAAAUAGGGGGACUCUCUUAUCAAACAUGGCAGGUGAGUGAAUACAGGACCAUACAGCCUACAGUUUUGAGAACCUCUGUUCUAUAGCACAAGCAAUAACUGUAAAGCUCGAUGAUGAUGAUGAUGAUGAUGAUGAUGAUGAUGAUGAUGAUGCUUUCUCCUCUUUAUUCUCUUGGAAUUCUGACCAGACCUUCCCUCUCAGCUGUCAAAAGUCAUGAAUGCUCAUCUGGUUAUAACUCUAUUGAGAAUCACUUGUUUUCGGUCAGAAACUUUUGCUGUACAAAGUCAGGUAUGAUUAUUCAUAGGCUGCAAUUUUAUACAGGCUGGCACGGAGAGCUUCUAUUUCUUAAAUAAAAAUAAGCUAUAUGGGCAAAAUGGAUUCAAGAUUUUACAACAUAUGUUAUUUUUGUAAUCAAACUCUCCCACUCCAUAUCCAAAGUCACUUUCCCAAUAAUUGCUUAUUUAUGGAUACCAGUCUUCAUCCAUCAUGUAAGGAGAAUGGAUAUGCCACUUACAGUCAUUCAUAGACAAUCAUCCUUUUACUUCCCAGAAUAUGUCAUUUUAACAUUCACUGUUAACACUUUCUCCUAUCAACUCCACUGGGCCAUAAAUGAGAGAGGAAGGAGGAGAAAAUUAAAGAGAAAAGAACGGAUGGCUCUUUACUACCCAUGCUGAUGGAGUUAGCAGCACCACUUCCUUCUCUCCAGUACUGGAGGCCUGCUCAGCAUUGCAGACCAGCUGUGUAACCUUUUAAAUAGCUUUGGCUGUAAAACACAAGUCUGCAUUUGCCAUAACAAAAAAACUGCUUCAUUCCCAACAGUCAA